CCUGUUGCUCACGGUGUUGGCACAACUCAUGAUCUCACUAGUGAUGAUCUUCCCCAAGUUCACAUCCAUCUGCAUCAACGUACAGUAGAUGACCAAGAUCUGAUGCAAAGUGAUAUCGGAAACAUGAGAGCAAAGCUGGAUGUUGGCAUGUGUAAAUGCCAUCCAGUAUUUGGCUAAGGGAGUUAAGUCUGCCCGAAGGAUGUUCACCGGUGCUCCGUUUGGGUUUCUCUGAAAGUGCCUCCCAGGGAUGCACAUAACCUGCUCAAUCUCUUCAUAAUCCCGGGCCUCCCCCAGUAUGGCAGCAUACAUACACUGCUCUCCUGGCCACUCAGUCCCCAGAAAAGCGUUGAUGGUAUCCGAAUUAUAGAUGAUCAAGUGUCCACGUACAUAGCUCAUGUACCUGCCUGCGGAAACUCCUACUCUCGGCAAGGCAUUUUAUUUUAUUUUGUUUUUUAGAAAUAACCUCUCAAGAUGAAGUGGGACCUUCAAGUGUUGUUAUUAAUUUCGAUGAUUGAAACUUUGCCACAACUUGUUAGUUAUCUAAAGUAUAUGUACGUAAGAUUAAAACCUUAAGGCUUUGUUUUUCAUAAUGUUUUACUCUAAUUGAUUAUUCUUGUUAAGGCUGUUAAGGCUUUUCUUGCUGUUGCCGAUCUGGAGAGGAAGGAUGUUAAUUUGGAUUUGAUUGCAGUGGAGAAGUUGCAGACGUUGAGGUUGCAGGAACAUAAGUAUUUUGAUGACAUGGUUCAAAAAUGCAAGGUUGAGAAAUGGAGUACCUAACUUUUGUGCAGUUGCAUUAGCUCUCAAUGACUUAGGGUGAUGUUCUGAGCAGAUACAAAGCAAUUGGCAUUAGGCUGGAUUCUGGUGACCUUGCAUAUUUGUCUUGUGUGAUCAGGAAGCUGUUUUGCUCCAUUGAGAAGGAAUUUGGAUUGCCUGGUUUCGGAAAGAUGAGUAUCACAGCUAGCAAUGACCUUAAUGGGGAAACAAUAGAUGCUUUAAACAAACAGGGUCAUCAAAUUGAUGCCUAUGGAAUUGGUACAUACCUUGUUACGUGUUAUGCUCAUGCUCAAGCUGCUUUAGGUGUUGUUUUCAAGCUGGUUGAAAUUAAUAAUAAACCUCGUAUUGGAAAUUGAUGUUCCAAAGUUGCAGAAGGAGAAGCCAAGAGAAGCUGCUCCAAUUGCCUAUAGUGCAUGUGAUCGUUGUGGUAGAGUCAUGUAUGAUUAAAGCUUUUGUUCAUCCAUCACAGCAAGUUCAAAUGCUGGAGCUGUUAUAAAUGCAAACAGUUGGAGUGCACUCCCUAUUUAGUGUUGGGAUACAUGCUUUUACUAUUGAUUCUAAUGUAUUGGAGAUCAAAAAUUUUGGUGGGUGUCGUUCUUUCACUCCCAGGGGUCUGUCAUAAUCUUUAAACCUUUUAACAGAUCUUGGAGAUGUUUUAUUGUUUUGUUCAUAUAUUUUAUUGUUGAACAUGUGAGAAUUCUAUACUUUUGAUGAUGUUCUCCUUAAA